rnacentral:rRNA from 1 species
UGGGGAAUAUUGCACAAUGGGCGAAAGCCUGAUGCAGCGACGCCGCGUGGGGGAUGAAGGCUUUCGGGUUGUAAACCUCUUUCGCUAUCGAACAAGGCCCGCUUAGGGUGGGUUGAGGGUAGGUGGAGAAGAAGCGCCGGCUAACUACGUGCCAGCAGCCGCGGUAAUACGUAGGGCGCGAGCGUUGUCCGGAAUUAUUGGGCGUAAAGGGCUUGUAGGCGGCUUGUUGCGCCUGCUGUGAAAACGCGGGGCUUAACUUCGCGCGUGCAGUGGGUACGGGCAGGCUUGAGUGUGGUAGGGGUGACUGGAAUUCCAGGUGUAGCGGUGGAAUGCGCAGAUAUCUGGAGGAACACCGAUGGCGAAGGCAGGUCACUGGGCCAUUACUGACGCUGAGGAGCGAAAGCGUGGGGAGCAAACAGG